rnacentral:rRNA from 1 species
GACGAGCGCGUGGCGGCGUGCCUAAUACAUGCAAGUAGAGCGCGUGUGGGACUGGUGCUUGCACUGGUCUAAGGAGUUGCGAACGGGUGAGUAGCGCGUAGGUAACCUACCUCAUAGCGGGGGAUAACUAUUGGAAACGAUAGCUAAUACCGCAUGACAAUAGGGUACACAUGUACCCUAUUUAAAAGGGGCAAAUGCUUCACUAUGAGAUGGACCUGCGUUGUAUUAGCUAGUUGGUAAGGUAACGGCUUACCAAGGCGACGAUACAUAGCCGACCUGAGAGGGUGAUCGGCCACACUGGGACUGAGACACGGCCCAG